AUACCCAUAUGGAGUUUAUUUAAAUUGAAAAGUGUUAAGUAUUUGUUUCCGUAAAGAGUGGUAGUGUGUGUGCGUAAUAUUCGCUGUUUGUAAUAAUUCUCAUUAUUUUCUUUUGUAAUCGGAAAAGGGGUAACAGAUGGGUUGGGUAAGUAUUGCACCAAAUGGGUAUGCAAUAACUUAGAAUGGGUAAGACAUGAGCAUCAUAUAUGAUUUUCAAAACAUAACGAGGCAUAUGAUCUUUAAUUUUAUAGAGAGGGGCAAUUAUUUUAGAUAGUUUAAGGCACAUAUUUGAUAUAUGAGGUUUGAAUGUCAGGGAGUCAUCAAAAAUGAUCCCUAAUAGUGUAUGCUGGGUUGUUCUUUUUAUUAUACUGUAAUUAUAAAAUAAUGGAGGUAGAGAUUGUGUAUGUUUGUUGGUGAAUAGCAUAUAAUAAGUUUUAUUUUGAUUUACUGUUAAUCUAUUGCUCACACACCAUUUAUAGAAGAUAUCCAUUUCCGAAUUGGCUUUAUGUACCAUGGCAGUUGGGUCUGUACCAGUUAUAUAUAGAGUUGAGUCAUCGGCAAAUAAUAUAGUUUUACAAUUUUUGAAUAUAUGUGGUAGGUCAUUAAUGUAAAUUGAAAAUAGAAUUGGACCUAGAACACUUCCCUGUGGUAUUCCAUAUUUAAUAAGCCGUGGUGUGGAGGAGUGGUCGAGCAAUUUAGUGGAUUGAGUUCUGUUUAUCAAGUAGUCUCUGAACCAGUCAUGUAUGAUCCCUCUAAUGCCUCUAAUGCGCAGUUCACGAGAGACCAGUGAUUGUAAACAAAAGCGCCAGCUUUUGACGAUGGGACACCAAAUAACACAACACCGGGUGCCUUCAAUACCAUGGCAUGCUCACAAACGAAUAUGGAAUAUCAAAUUUGAGACAGUGAAUAAUAUUUUUUGGGGCAAAGUUAACUGAUUUUUCUCUUUGAUAUAUUGAUUUUUGAGUCUUACAUAAAAAAUACCCUAGUGUUUUAAUGUUGAUGAUCUAUGUAUGAAAUCUCUUCACCGAAGAUAUUUCAUACCCCGAAGUUUUUUCAUACAACACCGGGCGCCUGGGCCACGCAUGCGCAGUAGGGAGGAGACAACGUUUUUUUCUGAGAGGCGGAAAAAAAAUAGCGAUUAUCGCUGGUUUGGUUACAAAAGUAAUGAAGAUACUGAUAUAUAUUCAAAUAAGUAGCAGAUGGCCGAUAACCCGAUUUUGUUAUCAGUGAUAAAGUAUCGCAAUAACUUAUCGCGAUAACGCCCAGCUAUGGAAAUACAUGUCCCUUGUCCAUAAUAUGAAAGCGGAAAAACUUAAAAAUAAUGAAAAAGUGGUAAAGGUAGUGAAAAGGCAUAUUAUACAUACGCUACAUACACUAUGUUAAAGGAUGGGAGUUGAUUGAGUAAACCUCGAUCUCUUUGGAGUACUACCACAUGCUGGAGAAUCCGAUGGGUGCUUGUGAGCCAUGGUUAAUUGGUGGUAAGUUGGUAACACACUGAACAAACGGGGAGAGAGACGCUACCACAGCCGUGCGUGGGUAAAGAAUGAGCAGCGCGGCCCGGGUGGCGGUGUCACGGGCAAAAUUGACCCUUGGGCAAAAUUGAGCCCGGGCAUCCACGUGCCUCUGUUAUCUUAGCUCAAGCUCGUGUAUGUGGGCUUCUUUUCGACUGAUAUGGCGUCUAGAGCUAGCAUGAUCAUCAUUCUUUAUUAUGAUGACAAAGAUCAUGUCAAAAUUUGCCUCAUUAAAUAAGAAAUUACAUAAAGAUCGGCAGCUUUUCCUCGUCGCCAAGACAUCCUCCAGCAGCGCUCCGACACCCAUGCUCGCACAUUCAUUUUUCUCAGAAAAUAGGAUACCAAUCACAUUUACAUCAACAUAUUUCCACAGGUGAAUACUUAGGGCAUGUUCACACCAAGUUGCGACGCCUGAGAUUCAUUAAUAAUGACGGGGAAAGGAAAAAUAUAGGGCCCUGUCAUCGACAAAAUUGAGCCUCGGGCAGAAUUGAGCCGGGGCAUCUAUAUGCCUCAGAUUUCUUCGCUAUUAUAUGUUGUAAGAUCGUUUUGUUGACAUGUAUGGGUAGAUUAAGGCUAUCUGUAUCUACAUAUAGAAGGAAAACGCAAAAUUCGCCCUAGUAAAUCGGAAACUACAUAAAGUUCGGCAGUUUUUCCUUGUCGCCAAGACAUCCUCCAGCAGCGCUCCGACACCCAUGAUCGCACAUUCAUUUUUCACAAAAAAUAGGAUACCAAUCACAUUUGCAUCGACAUAUUUCCACAGGUGAAUACUUAGGGCAUGUUCACACCAAGUUGCGACAGCUGAAGUUCAUUAAUUAUGACAGGGGAAGGAAAAAUGUAGGGCCUUCCUUGUCUCUAAUUUACCGACGUCCAUGAAACCGUACAUGGCCUGAGAUGGUGCCAAGGACCAAGGCAUCUGGCGCAAUGCAUCAACCUCAACUAUUACUGCUACAAGCCUGCAUCUUGCCAUUUCAACGUAAUGGAGCAAAAUAACCCCGGUCAAAGUGAGCAAGAGUUUGUGCAUUUGCACACUGUGAAGCAGUGGCUACGAGGGGAAGAGCCAAAUAUGUUGCCACGCAAAAAGAAGAACCUGAAGAGAUUAAAAGAAAAAUGCUCUCCUGGUGAAGGGUGAAGAUUGUCAUCGAAUAAUAUAAACUAUAUCUCAUCAAAGUGGCCGAGGGGAGGAGGCGGCAGGUUCUCCUGCAUCAGAACAUAUUGCGCAUCCUUGCCCAGUAUCAUGAUGAUGCAGGCCACUGUGGUCAACAUACCACAGAGGAAAACAUUGCCUUUUAUUAUUACUGGCCAAGGACAUUAUGUCAAAGACUAAGUGAUUAGACAGUACAUUUGUUCAUUUUCACCAUGUCAGUGAUG